AGCAGCCGCGGUAAUUCCAGCUCCAAUAGCGUAUAUUAAAGUUGUUGCAGUUAAAAAGCUCGUAGUUGAAUUUCGGGGUUAGUAGGUUGGUCAUGCCUCUGGUAUGUACUGGUCUCACUGAUUCCUCCUUCCUGAUGAGCCGUAAUGCCAUUAAUUUGGUGUUGCGGGGAAUUUGGACUGUUACUUUGAAAAAUUAGAGUGUUUAAAGCAAGCUAACGCUUGAAUACAUUAGCAUGGAAUAAUGAAAUAGGACGUUCGAUCCUAUUUUGUUGGUUUCUAGGAUUGACGUAAUGAUUAAUAGGGAUAGUUGGGGCAUUAGUAUUCAAUUGUCAGAGGUGAAAUUCUUGGAUUUAUUGAAGACUAACUACUGCGAAAGCAUUUGCCAAGGAUGUUUUCAUUAUACAAG
rnacentral:rRNA from 1 species